CUUGGUGGACAUAGCGAGGGGGACACACCCGAUCCCAUCCCGAACUCGGCCGUGAAGACCCUCAGCGCCGAUGGUACUGCAUCUUAAGGUGUGGGAGAGUAGGACACUGCCAGGU
rnacentral:rRNA from 1 species